rnacentral:lncRNA from 1 species
ACCAGAAGUUAAAUUGGAAUUUGAGAACUGGAAUGUGAAUGACAAAAUUGUCCUAAAUGUUAGCCUGCAGGGAUAUCUUUCAUAACAACACUGAAAUUCAGGCAGAAAGCCAUCAUCCUGUCAGCAACAGCAACAACAAGUCUACAUUCAGCAACCCACCACCCGAACACAGUUCAAGUCACGCCACAAACAUAACACAUUAGCCAACAAGUUUCUGAUUUAUGAUAAUUUUUUCAGGACCAGAAGUGCUCUGCGCUCUGCUAUUAACCCCAUGAAAAGAGUUCUUUCCAGAUAAGCGGAUACUUGCGGCUGCGUGGAGUGGAUCCCAGUCCCAGUUUGCUACCAGCAAUCCCAACCCAAGACACAGAGCCAACAGUAAGACCACAGUGCCUGCAGAUAUCGGCCCACGCCUCUCCCUGCACACACACACUGGAUUAGUGACCCGCCGAGCAUCGGAAUUUCUUUUGAUGGUUUUAUGGAGUGGGUUGAUGAGGAGAACCUCGGAAUUU